AUUUAUAUAGUUUAAAAAAAACGUUGCAUUUUCAUUGCAAAAUUAAAUUCAAUUUUGUAAAUU
rnacentral:tRNA from 1 species